CUUCACCGACCCCAGCCACAGCGGCCGCUCCGGCGCCCGCUCACGGCCGUAGGUGGCCAGCAGCGCCCGCGCCUC
rnacentral:antisense_RNA from 1 species